UAAUACGGAGGGUGCAAGCGUUAUCCGGAUUCACUGGGUUUAAAGGGUGCGUAGGCGGAUUGAUAAGUCAGUGGUGAAAUCUUUGGGCUUAACCCGAAAACUGCCAUUGAUACUAUUGGUCUUGAAUACCGUGGAGGUCGACGGAAUAUGUCAUGUAGCGGUGAAAUGCUUAGAUAUGACAUAGAACACCAAUUGCGAAGGCAGUUGGCUACGCGAGUAUUGACGCUGAUGCACGAAAGCGUGGGGAUCAAACAGGAUUAGAUACCCUGGUAGUCCACGCCCUAAACUAUGGAUACUCGACAUACGCGAUACACUGUGUGUGUCUGAGCGAAAGCAUUAAGUAUCCCACCUGGGAAGUACGAUCGCAAGAUUG
rnacentral:rRNA from 1 species